UUUUUUUUCUUUUGAGAGAAGAUGAAAAGUUUGAUGAUGUGGAACUUGGAAAUUUUUGGUGCUGUCUCACCACAAGCCCACAGCAGAGAUAGAUGAUCAUGGACCAGAACCUGGAAACUGGAAGUCAGUGUCAGCUUGCAGGCCCUUGUUUCCUCUGUGGGCACAUGGAGCCUUCUGUCAUGUAAUUAUCCUGUGUGAGGAGAAGCAGCCCAGGGAAGAGGAGAGACAAGAUCUUGCCCCAGAAGGCUUCCAUCCCUGUCAGAAAGAAAGACUUCCUUUGAAGGCCCUCAAAGGCCCUUGAUUAACUGGCCCUUGAGGUACACUGGCCUGAGCCUCCCCUGAGAACUGCUGGAGAGGCUGAGAAAGUGCAGAUAUGAUGGGUAGCUUGUGAUAUGGGGCUUUGGUGACAAGGAAGGGGACCAUAGGACAACCCACAGUGUUGGUUGUACAUUAUUAUAUGAAAGAAAUGAAAUUACAAGCUGUAUCAUUGGUUAGCACGUCCGGUCUUCAAGCAUUGUGUUGUUUAGGGUUAGGAAUUGAUUGUAAUCUCAAUCUAAGAAAAUCUUUUUUGCCUUUGGUACUGGGGAUGGAAUCCAGGAAUCACUGACCUACAUUCCCUGCUCCACCCCCUUUUUAAUUUUGUUCUGA